GUCAUUUAUUCAACAUCACUCUCUCUCACAACGCCUCGUCUUCUCUCUUUCUCUCGAGGCGACUCUGAGGCGAAACGGUGAUCUCUCUGCAACGAUGAUAUCUCCGUCUCGUCGACGGCAUCAGCUGGAGUCUCUAUCGGUUGAAUCGCCGUCUCUCUCUCUCUCUCUCUCUCUCUCUCUCUCUCUCUCUCUCUCUCUCUCUCUCUCUCUCUCGUUAACGACUCUGCGUCUCCCUCGCUCUCCUCGACGAUUCCGCCUCCCUGUCGCUCUCCUCGACGACUCCGCGUAUCUCUCGCUCUCCAUGACGGCUCACCUAAAUCAAGAAUCGCUCCACCUCUCUCUCUUCGGCCCGUGGCUAUCCUCGACAAAUUCAAACCGAAAGAAAAAGCUAAGUUUUUUUUCCUCUUAUGUAUGAAUCAUUCGUUGUUAAAUUGAUUCGUGUCUUGUGUUGCAUGCGUCUCUUGUGUUUUUUAUGUCUCCUGAUUGAAGAGAUGAUGUCUCUGUCUUUGUUUGUUUAUGUCUCUGUCUUUGUUUGUUAAUCAUUCUUGUGAUAGUGCAUUCUUGUUAAAUUGAUUUGUGUGUUGUGUUAAAUCGAUCACUUUGUUUGUCUCUCCUGAUUCAAGAGAUGAUGUCUGUGUCGAUCAAUAUAUCAAUCAGUUCUGUUGUUUGGUUUUGUCUCUGUCUUUGUCUAAGUCGAUCAGUACUUGUGUUUGUUUAUGUAUCAUGAUUCAAGAGAUGAUGUCUCUGUAUUUGUUUCUUUAUCGUUGUUGUGAUUGUUGAUGUUAAUGUCUUUGUUUAUGAUUCUUCUCUGUCGAUCAAUAUAUCAAUAUAUCAAUCAGUAUUUGUUUCUUAAUCUUUCUUGUGUCUGCAUCGUUUUAGUGUUGAUUCUGUUUCUCGUGUUUCCUUUUCAGAUGGACAGUUAAAGAGACAAGAAGGUUCUUCAAAGAAGAGGUAUGUGUUGUGGACGGAUGAAGAGACACUGGCAAUUUCAGGAUGCGAGUGUAGCAUUGGGAGUUGAAGCGAGUCACGGUCUUGGCAGUGUACUGAAGAGAGUCAUGGACUUGGCAGUGUACUGAAACGAGUGAAGUCGUGUAGUGUAGUGUCUUGUGUUGUAUUUACUGAACUCUUGUAUCACGGACUUGUACUGUAAUGUGUAAAGACUGAACUCUUGUGUCACAUGUCUUGUAUUAUUAUUGUAUGUCACCCUCUCAUGUAGUCUUUUUUUCAUCAAGUAGUAACUCCUAUUCAACCUUCUA